GCCGAAGUGGUGAUGGCGUGAAGGCGGAGCAGGGGCCGUGGUGGGGUACAUGAUGGAGGCUGCAUGAGCAGGCGUGGCAGGAACACCUAGUGGUAGAAAUCCUGGCGGACUGAGAGGCCCGUGGGAUGUUUGCAGAGACCAUCAGGACCGCUGACCUCAGAGCCCUGGGGCACCACCGUGGACUGACCUUCAGUGACAUACAUGGGCACUGCGUUGCAGGCAACACCCAUCGGGGGAGUCUGGACACUGGCAAAGACCCAGCGCUUCAGGCAUGAAGAUUGUGUCACCUCUGUCCUCGAAGUUACCAUGAGCCCCUCCACUGCUGCUUUGUGGUGUCAUCAUGAAGGUCAAGUGUUUACACCAAGGGGCGCUUUACAGAAACCCGUUUCCAGACAAGGCCUGGGACACCGUGGUCCCUGUGGAGUGAAUGUGCCAAGACAAAAUCUAGUAAAAAGCAAAUCAAGAUACGGUAUUAGUCUUCAUCACAAUGCUCCACGCAUGAGUUGAAAAAAUCCAAAAA